UGGGGAAUCUUGGACAAUGGGCGCAAGCCUGAUCCAGCCAUGCCGCGUGAGUGAAGAAGGCCUUCGGGUUGUAAAGCUCUUUUACCAGGGACGAUAAUGACGGUACCUGGAGAAUAAGCCCCGGCAAACUUCGUGCCAGCAGCCGCGGUAAUACGAAGGGGGCUAGCGUUGUUCGGAAUUACUGGGCGUAAAGCGCACGUAGGUGGAUAGUUAAGUUCGGGGUGAAAUCCCAGGGCUCAACCCUGGAACUGCCUCGGAUACUGGCUAUCUCGAGUCCGGAAGAGGUGAGUGGAAUUCCUAGUGUAGAGGUGAAAUUCGUAGAUAUUAGGAAGAACACCGGUGGCGAAGGCGGCUCACUGGUCC
rnacentral:rRNA from 1 species